rnacentral:rRNA from 1 species
GUGGGGAAUCUUGCGCAAUGGACGAAAGUCUGACGCAGCGACGCCGCGUGGGUGAUGAAGGCCUUCGGGUUGUAAAGCCCUGUGGAGAGGGACGAAUAAGUGCGGGCUAAUACUCCGCAUGAUGACGGUACCUCCUUAGCAAGCACCGGCUAACUCUGUGCCAGCAGCCGCGGUAAGACAGAGGGUGCAAACGUUGUUCGGAAUUACUGGGCGUAAAGCGUGUGUAGGCGGCUAUGUAAGUCGGAUGUGAAAGCCCCGGGCUCAACCCGGGAAGUGCAUUCGAUACUGCGUAGCUCGAGUAUCGGAGAGGUUGGUGGAAUUCUCGGUGUAGAGGUGAAAUUCGUAGAUAUCGAGAGGAACAUCGGUGGCGAAGGCGGCCAACUGGACGAACACUGACGCUGAGACACGAAAGCGUGGGGAGCAAACAGGAUUAGAAACCCGAGUAGUCC